AACUCUUUAGCUUUGCUAAAGAAUAGUAAAGUGGCGCACGGGUGAGUAACGCGUGGGUAAUCUACCUCCGAAUCUGGGAUAACCCGCCGAAAGGCGAGCUAAUACCGGAUAAUAUCUUUAAACUUCGGUUUUUAAGAUCAAAGGUGGUCUCUACAUGUAAGCUACUGUUUGGAGAUGAGCCCGCGUACCAUUAGCUUGUUGGUAGGGUAAUGGCCUACCAAGGCCGCGAUGGUUAGCUGGUCUGAGAGGAUGAUCAGCCACACUGGAACUGACACACGGUCCAGACUCCUACGGGAGGCAGCAGUGAGGAAUUUUGCGCAAUGGGGGAAACCCUGACGCAGCAACGCCGCGUGAGUGAUGAAGGCUUUCGGGUCGUAAAGCUCUGUCAAGUGGGAAGAACCUGCUAGAUGUUAAUACCAUUUAGCACUGACGGUACCACUAAAGGAAGCACCGGCUAACUCCGUGCCAGCAGCCGCGGUAAUACGGGGGGUGCAAGCGUUAUUCGGAAUUAUUGGGCGUAAAGGGCGCGUAGGCGGUCUCUAAAGUCAGAUGUGAAAGCCCGGGGCUUAACCCCGGAAGUGCAUUUGAAACUUAGGGACUUGAGUAUGGGAGAGGGAAGUGGAAUUCCUGGUGUAGCGGUGAAAUGCGUAGAUAUCAGGAGGAACACCAGUGGCGAAGGCGACUUCCUGGACCAAUACUGACGCUGAGGCGCGAAGGCGUGG
rnacentral:rRNA from 1 species